rnacentral:lncRNA from 1 species
AAACCAAAACCACAGCUAAAUGUAGCACUAACCUUUGAUGAUCUUCAUCAGAUGACAACCCUAGGACAUUAUGUUAUACAAUACAUGCAUGUUUUGUUCAAUCAAGUUCAUAUUUAUAUCAAAACCCAGCUUUUUACAUUAGCAUGUGACGUUCAGAACUAGCAUACCCCCCAAAAACUUCCGGGGAAUUUACUAACAAUUUACUAAAUUACUCACGAUAAACGUUCACAAAAGGCUUAACAAUUAUUUUAAGAAUUAUAGAUACAGAACUCCUCUAUGCACUCGAUAUGUCCGAUUUUAAAAUAGCUUUUUGGUGAAAGCACAUUUUGCAAUAUUCUAAGUACAUAGUCCAGCCAUCACGGGCUAGCUAUUUAGACACCCAGCAAGUUUAGCCUUCACCAAAAUCAGAUUUACUAUUACAAAAGUUUGAUUACCUUUGAUGUUCUUCGUCAGAAUGCACUCCCAGGACUUCUACUUCAAUAACAAAUGUUGGUUUGGUCCCAAAUAAUCCAUCGUUAUAUCCAAACAGCGGCGUUUUGUUCGUGCGUUCAAGAAACUAUCCGAAAUGGUAAAUCAGGGUUACGAGCAUGGCGCAUUUCGUGACAAUAAAAUUCUAAAUAUUCCAUUACCGUACUUCGAAGCAUGUCAACCGCUGUUUAAAAUCAAUUUUUACGCCAUUUAUCUCGUAAAAUAAGCGAUAAUAUUCCGACCGGGUAUCUGCGGUUCGGUAAAUAGAGGAAAAAAAAGAAAGAACGGGGCGACCAGUGCAUGCGCCUAAGCCCACUGUCCCCCGAUCGGCCACUUGACAAAGGCGAUAAUGUGUUUCAGCCUGGGGCUGGAAUGACGACAUUCAGCUUUUUCCCGGGCUCUGAGAGCCUAUGGGAGCCGUGGGAAGUGUCACGUUACCGCAGAGAUCCUUUGUUUUGGAAAGAGAUGUCAAAGAAAGCCAAUAAAUGGUCAGACAGGCCACUUCCUGUAAAGGAAUCUCUCAGGUUUUUGCCUGCCAUAUGAGUUCUGUUAUACUCACAGACACCAUUCAAACAGUUUUAGAAACUUUAGGGUGUUUUCUAUCCAUAUGUAAUAAGUAUAUGCAUAUUCUAGUUACUGGGUAGGAGUAGUAACCAGAUUAAAUCGGGUACGUUUUUUAUCCGGCCGUGUAAAUACUGCCCCCUAGCCCUAAGAGGUUAA